rnacentral:rRNA from 1 species
AUUGAACGCUGGCGGUAUGCUUAACACAUGCAAGUCGGGCGGCAGCGGGGGCUUCGGCCCGCCGGCGAGCGGCGGACGGGUGAGUAACGCAUGGGAAUCUGCCCCGUAGUGGGGGACAACUUAGGGAAACUCAAGCUAAUACCGCAUACGCCCUUCGGGGGAAAGCGGGGGACCUUCGGGCCUCGCGCUACGGGAUGAGCCCAUGUUGGAUUAGCUAGUUGGCGGGGUAAUGGCCCACCAAGGCGACGAUCCAUAGCCGGCCUGAGAGGGUGGCCGGCCACACUGGGACUGAGACACGGCCCAGACUCCUACGGGAGGCAGCAGUGGGGAAUAUUGGACAAUGGGCGGAAGCCUGAUCCAGCAAUACCGCGUGUGUGAAGAAGGCCCGAGGGUUGUAGAGCACUUUCAAUGGGGAGGAAAAAGCGCCGGCGAAUACCCGGCGUAUUGACAUUACCCAUACAAGAAGCACCGGCUAACUCCGUGCCAGCAGCCGCGGUAAUACGGAGGGUGCGAGCGUUAAUCGGAAUUAUUGGGCGUAAAGCGCGUGUAGGCGGUCUGAUUAGUCUGAUGUGAAAGCCCUGGGCUCAACCCAGGAAGUGCAUUGGAAACUGUCAGACUUGAAUACGGGAGAAGGUAGUGGAAUUCCUAGU